AAAAAUAUUAAAAAUCAUUUUUAGAAACUAUAAUUAAAAAGAGAAAUAAUGCAAUUAGUCCCAUAUUUUUAAGAAUUAAAAUGAAAGAGUUAUGGAUUUUUGAAUUAAAAUGAAAUAAAAGAAAAUAAACAGAAAUUAAAUCAGAAAAUAGAAAAUGGAAAAAGAUCUGGCGCGUUGGAUCAACCUCAUUAGAUGAGGUGGCACAUCCAAG
rnacentral:lncRNA from 1 species